rnacentral:rRNA from 1 species
UACGGGGGGAGCAAGCGUUGUUCGGAAUCACUGGGCGUAAAGGGAGUCUAGGCGGUUUGGUAAGUGGGAUGUGAAAUGCCCGGGCUCACCCCGGGACCUGCAUCCCAAACUGCUGAGCUUGAGUACAGGAGAGGGUGGGGGAAUUCCAGGUGUAGCGGUGAAAUGCGUAGAUAUCUGGAGGAACACCGGUGGCGAAGGCGCCCACCUGGCCUGUUCUUGACGCUGAGGCGCGAAAGCUAGGGGAGCAAACGGG